UCGAUGGUGUGUUUACGAGACAGGUCGGUAGAACGGCGGACUGUUAAUCCGUAUGUCACUGGUUCGAGUCCAGUCAGAGGAGCCA
rnacentral:tRNA from 1 species